GGUGGUUCAUGUGCUAACAGGAGAGGGAAGACAGAGGGGGUUGUGUGCUCACAGGGCAGAGCAUCCUGUGUCUGAUGACCUGUUUUGGCUGCAGCCAGGAGAAGAGCAAGCUGAGGUGCCUGGUCCCUGUCUAUGAGCGGCUGCCCUGGCAGAGAGAGCAGUCAUCCAAGGAAUGCCACUGAGCUGACUGCAGAGGCCAUCAGAGGCGGGCCUGUCCAAGCUGCCCAGCGCCAUUCAGGACAAGUGAAGGUGAUGGCUUUGGGGGUCCCCUCCCCCCUUACUCACGGAGUCUUGUCUCCCUGCCUUGCCUCACGGAAGGGCUCAGGGCUCUGACCUUGUGCUUUGGCAGAAUCCCUGAGAAUCCUCCCUCUGAGAGCACACUCUUCUCGUCUUCAGCCUUCCCACUUGCUCCUGACUCAGGCUGCAGUAUCUCUGGGCUGGGCUGUCUCCUGUUCCACAGGUCCUGGGCUGAUAGCCAGACUGACUUCCUGACUGGCAUUCCUGCCUCCAGCCCCAGCUCACUGCAGUCCACCCCCACAUCAGCCGGAGAGCCUUCCUCAAAGUGACUAGAAGAGCACACAUCGACACUGAAGGUUGGUUCUGGGCAGGGGGUGUGCCUGUCUCACUGACCACCAUCAUCUUGCAGGAACUUGUGGGAGAAAACAUCCUCCUGAGGAUCUGGUGUGGCCCACCUUAAGGAAAGCUGCAGCCAGAGUAGGUGUUGGAGGUAGUGUCGCACCUGUUGUUGGCGGCCUGCCCAGUGCCCUCUCCCCUUUCGCUCCCUCCUAACGGAAGCCUAAUGUGAUUGAGGUAGUCCCAUCAAACAUGCACAUCACAGCCAUCUGCUUCUGGGGGACUCUGACCACCCCCAACUUCAG
rnacentral:lncRNA from 1 species